rnacentral:rRNA from 1 species
GAUGAACGCUGGCGGCGUGCCUAAUACAUGCAAGUCGAGCGAACAGACGAGGGGCUUGCUCCUCUGACGUUAGCGGCGGACGGGUGAGUAACACGUGGAUAACCUACCUAUAAGACUGGGAUAACUUCGGGAAACCGGAGCUAAUACCGGAUAAUAUAUUGAACCGCAUGGUUCAAUAGUGAAAGACGGUUUUGCUGUCACUUAUAGAUGGAUCCGCGCCGCAUUAGCUAGUUGGUAAGGUAACGGCUUACCAAGGCAACGAUGCGUAGCCGACCUGAGAGGGUGAUCGGCCACACUGGAACUGAGACACGGUCCAGACUCCUACGGGAGGCAGCAGUAGGGAAUCUUCCGCAAUGUGCGAAAGCCUGACGGAGCAACGCCGCGUGAGUGAUGAAGGUCUUCGGAUCGUAAAACUCUGUUAUUAGGGAAGAACAAAUGUGUAAGUAACUAUGCACGUCUUGACGGUACCUAAUCAGAAAGCCACGGCUAACUACGUG